UGCCCAACAUUCUGUCGCCCUUUUUGUCCCUUAAGGGAUACCACAUGUGAGGCGAUGAUGACGUCAUCACGGUGGCGUUGCUGACAUCUAGUGGGCAAGUUCGGUUAACAGGGCCACGGUUCUAAGUCAUGGGAGAGACUUUACCAGCAUUAUAUGUCUGUUCUCUUUAGAUUUGUACGUCAGUGACAAGAAAACCACAUACACCCUCAUACCUACCCAGCUGAGUCCGAUAUCUUUAUGCUGUCUCCAUUAAGUCUGGAAUACAGAGCUUUUAAAAGGAACCUGUGUUGUGUCUUCAUUAUUCUGCCUGCUGCAUCCCAUGUUUAAAUCCCGUCCUGAACUGAAUCCUGGCCUAAGUGGUGUUUUGGCCGACACUCCGGGUUGAGAGAAGUGAUAAAUAUGAGUUGUGCCUUACAGUUCUUCAACCUUAGAGCUUUCUCACCUACAUUGUUAUUGUUUUUGCUUUUAUCUAUAAGAACAAUGUUAUGCAUUUUUUUGUAUAUAAACACAGUUGUUGUAUAAAGAUUUGCAAAACACAGUUUGGAUCUCAUUUUUAGGCAUUCUCCUGUUUAUUUUGUGAAUUUCCUACUAAUAGAGAAAUAUUAAAACAAUAUCUUCCA